rnacentral:rRNA from 1 species
CAAACUUAGCGGCGGACGGGUGAGUAACACGUGGGCAACCUGCCCUUGAGACGGGGAUAACUCCGGGAAACCGGAGCUAAUACCGGAUAACACAUAUCUUCGCAUGAGGAUAUGUUAGAAGGUGGCUUUUAGCUACCACUCAAGGAUGGGCCCGCGGCGCAUUAGCUAGUUGGUGAGGUAACGGCUCACCAAGGCGACGAUGCGUAGCCGACCUGAGAGGGUGAUCGGCCACACUGGGACUGAGACACGGCCCAGACUCCUACGGGAGGCAGCAGUAGGGAAUCUUCCGCAAUGGACGAAAGUCUGACGGAGCAACGCCGCGUGAGUGAUGAAGGUUUUCGGAUCGUAAAGCUCUGUUGUUAGGGAAGAACAAGUAUCUGUUGAAUAAGCAGGUACCUUGACGGUACCUAACCAGAAAGCCACGGCUAACUACGUGCCAGCAGCCGCGGUAAUACGUAGGUGGCAAGCGUUGUCCGGAAUUAUUGGGCGUAAAGCGCGCGCAGGCGGUUCCUUAAGUCUGAUGUGAAAGCCCACGGCUCAACCGUGGAGGGUCAUUGGAAACUGGGGAACUUGAGUGCAGAAGAGGAGAGCGGAAUUCCACGUGUAGCGGUGAAAUGCGUAGAGAUGUGGAGGAACACCAGUGGCGAAGGCGGCUCUCUGGUCUGUAACUGACGCUGAGGCGCGAAAGCGUGGGGAGCGAACAGGAUUAGAUACCCUGGUAGUCCACGCCGUAAACGAUGAGUGCUAAGUGUUAGAGGGUU